AUGUGAUUUUCUUUUCUUCUAUUUCUGAGGAAUGGAUCCUGGUCUGCUCUCCUGUGGAAACCUCUAGAAGAAUGUUCAUAAAGGUAUAAUGCAGCUAAAUACCUGGAUAUUAAUUAAGGAUUGAUAUAUAAACUCAAGGUAAGUGAUAUUGCUUUUUAGAAUUUCCUUUUCUGUUUGUUUUUUUUUCCCUCACAUUCCCUGCAUAUCUGCUUUCUCCAAUUUCAUAUUUUAGAUUUGUAUUUUCUUCUCUUUUUGAUUGAAUUCAGUUUAGGCUUGAGUUUCCUUAUUUUUCCUUGUUUCCAAAUGUAUGUGGGGUUUUGUUUGUUUUUGAAAGAAAAUAAUGUUAGAAGGUAAACAAAAGGGCAUUUUCUUUGCCAUCUCCCCUGACUAUGUACAUGGCUUUGACAAGUAGGAAAGAAAACCUACAGAAUGUCCAUGGCAUGUAAAAUGUACCAUAGAAUGAAUCAUUUUCAGCAGCCUCGAUGCAGUGGGAGAUGUUCUGUUGGGAACUGGAACCAUCCACCUACUUCUGCUCAUUACACUGACACUGCUCUGUUCUCUUUUCUGAACUCUGAGAGUUACUUAUCCACCCACAUGCUUAAUCUACAGGAACCAUUCUGAAAGGUUUGUUCCUUACCCUAUAAUCUUUUAUACUUUCUACCCUUUUUGUGUCAUCAGCUAAUUUAGACUAUUUUUAAAAUUAAGUAAUAUAUGUUAAACCAUAUCAAUAUAGGGUUUUACUUGAAGCCAUAAAAUUCUAAAAAUUCAUAUUUAAGUAAAUAAAUAUAUAUAUUACAACAGGCAUUUUAUACAUAUAAUAUUGAUUAUAUAUAGUUUUCUGUGAGAGAUUAUAAUUAGAUUUUUAAUUUCAUAUUUAAUAUUUCAAGUACUUGAAAAUUUGCUUUCUUACUAUAUUUUUAUUAUAAAAUGAUUUAAUUAAUUUUAGAAAAAAAUGGUUAAUAUUCUUUAAUGUUAUUUUCUCUAGAAUAAUUUUUUACAUUUGGUAAAAGCAAUGAAAUGAAGUAUUAACAAUUUCAGAGCAGAAUAUUGGAUGUGCUUUUGAGAAGCAAAAAUGUGAAAUCUCCUGCAUGUGACAUGUUUUGUAUUGGCUUUUUGGUGGGUCUCUCUUCUUCUUUUCCCUGUUCUCUCUUCAUUUUUAAAGCAACUUUCCACCUAAAUAGAAUUGCAGCAUAUAAGAUGUUCACAUACUCUUACUUGCAGCAAAUCUGGUAGUUGAAAUUUUCACAGCUGCGGGGAAUUACAUGUGUUACCCAUCUCCCCUGCACUCUGCAGCUGUGCCUGCUCAGGAAUUGUGCUUCUGUCCCUGCUUUCCAUCUACAUAAUGCUUCCAGUCCCCGGGGCCAGCUUGUUCUAUGUAGAGUUGGUUCAUCAAGGCAGGCAGUCCAAUGUAUUAUAAACCAAUCCGAAUUCCUAAUCUCAAAAAAAAACUUAGUAAAGGAAACCUGCCCUAACAGUAAGAGAAGCAAAUUAUUCCUGAACUUCAUGCUGUGAUGGUUGUGUUGCUCAAAUACCUUAUUUAGCAAAUAGGGUGCUUCUGCAUGUAGCUGGCGAUCAGACAGUCCCCAGCAAAAGGUGUGAUGGAGGUUAUAAAGCCUCUGGCAUAAUUUAGUGAUUGAUAAUUUGUGUGUAUUUUGUGCAAAGGGCCCCUUUGACAUUUUCUUUCCCAGGUACCUUGACUGGCGGAUGCAUUUUACUGAGAUGGAUGUGGAUUUGUUAAAUCACUCUUUUACUUUUUCAGCCCUUUCAUGUAGUGUACAAGGCUGAGAGAGUAGAUUAAUACAUACUCUGCUUUCUAAUUCACUGUUUUUUUCAGAGAGAAAAUGUACCUAGAUGAGUUUGCCCUUGACAUCUAAAUAAGAAGUUUGAUAACAAAAGCUGUGGACAGCUAAGCACAUCUGGAAGAUAAGUGCAAAAAUGAUAAACCUGGUGCUAUAACUGCAUUCAAUCUAUCCUACAUAUGUGCCAAAGUCUUCCCUCUUCCCUUGCUCGUGCUUUCAUAAUUCAUGGCUGUAAUUCACCUGGGGGUCGCUGGUGCUCUGUCAACGUUUAAUUGCUCUAAUUACCUUAUUACCUGCUCUGGUGAAGUGGUAAAGCCUUGACAUUUCACAUUUUCCCUAGGAAUAUGCAUCUGUGGGAUAUAUCAGUCUGUAGUUGUUAAAUACAGAGAAAAAUAACUCAGUUAAUCCAGUUUUUCAGUUGCAUAAGUCUACACUGUUACUGAUUCCUUACACUGGGCUACCGAGCCCCUUGUUUUCUCAAACUGUAAAUCUUUGUGAGAGGUUUCCUCUUUAAAAUUAAUCUACUUAGUUAUGAAUUUUUUAGUGAGAUGGGAAGGCUAAAAAGGAUGUGUCAAGUGAUAUUUUUGCAGGCUAAUCCAAUUAAAUUAGAAGUCACUUUACACAGGGUUCCAUUGAGUGGCAAGGGAGAAGCAUGGCCUCAUCAAGCAAGAAAGUUACCUUGUUUACAGAUAUUGAUGGUCAGAGAUCAUAGUGGCAACUGCUGAGUGACACUUCAGGAAAAACUGUAAUAGAUGAUGUGAUUGCAAGUUAGACUUUAGAAAAAAUGACAAAAAAGCAUUUUUUUCUGCAAUAAGUGGUUUUUUUCUGUGUUGUGGAUUUUCCUUGCAGAAGAAGAAGCUUCAGUCAAGUGAAACUUUUGUGCAGUAAAUGUUUCUGUAGUAAAGAAAAAUGGAAGAGUUGAGGAUCUUAAAUGCCAUUUGCUGUUAAGAAUUAUUUCUUUAAUGCAUCUUUUGUUUUUCUUUAACUUCUCAGAACGUUUUAUUUCCCACUCCCAAUGUUUGCGUAAAUGUUUUUUCAUAGCUGGGUGAUGCCAGUUGAUAAAUGGCAGCUACUAAAGAAAAAUGCUUUAUGAGGUAGCUGUUCCUUCAAUUUUUGAAAUAAAAUUACUCCUGAAAAGCUAGAGAAGGCUUUGUGUUAGCUUUGACUGUAGAAAUGAAAAGACAAGCAGAAAAUAGUACAAUUCUACUAAUAGCAGUUAAAUAAUGCCUGUGCUCUUAGUGUAAUGGGACAAGUACUACCAAUUUUCUGUUUUCUUUCACUGGAUGAAAAGGAAGAGGAUAAUUUUAUUUAAUCAGGUGGACUUAGCUGGAUGAAUGCAUGAAGGGAAUGGUGUGCAAAAAGCACUGCUUUUUAAGAAGAAGGAUCAUGUACAAGCUCUGUUCAGCUCCUUGGAGAAUUUCAGUAGGUGUAACUACCAGGAUUCAAAGGACCAAGUCAAUAAACUCCUGAAGACCAAUGUCUCUCUCUCCCCUCUCCCCUUUUUACCUCCAUAUGUAAAGAGGCAGCAUGCCUGUUGUAAAAACAAUCACACGCUUUUCAUCAUGUUAGUGCCCUGUGUCAUUCAGAGAAAAGUCAUUGUUGUACUGAUGAUGACAAUAACAAAGCCACAGGAGCAGGAAGAAAGCUGCUUAUUGUGAGGCCUUAGUGUUGGAAGGUCUGCUGAUUGUUUGGACAGAGAAUUCAAAUAUCAGGAGAAUAGAUAAUGCCAGAGAAAAGCUGGAAAACAUUAUAUCUAUCAGCCUUCAUCAAUAUUGUUGUGAUUUAGGCUCAAGGAGCAUGUUUCUUCAUGUCAAUAUAAUUUUCAAAGUCUCACUAAGCAAGUAUGGAUAAAGCUCUGGGCUGGGAUUGGCAAAUGUGCGCCUGAAGCUUAUCUAAGGCAUUGGGAGAUUUGCUGAAAGUCACUUAUCAUCAGUCUAUGCCACAUUUUUUUAUAAGCUAAGGUCUUAUGUAUUAAUAUACUUCUAAAGAUAGUAUUGACAUAUGAAAUAUCUAUAUUAAGAUGUACAUAUUGCUAUUUCCACAAUUUUUUACAUUUAAACAAGUACCUUAAAAAAAAAAAAAAGCUAAUUCUACAGUUAUGUUCCUGUUGCAAAGCUGGGAUUUGUUGAGAGACACAAAGAGAAUAAAGACAUACUUCUGGUGUUUUUACUUCUAGACUGGUGAACCUGGAAAUGCUUUUAAGUUCCCUGCCAGAUCAGGGCAAGUUUUACUGGAUGCCAGUCCUCAUCUCUGUGCCUUUAUUUUUUUGUGGGGAAAUUGCUCAUGUGCUUCCUUCUCAGCUUUUUCUCCCAAACUGGUUGGGAGAGGGGCUGCUGAAAUUUGCUUUCUAGAGGAGACCCCUUUGGGAAGUUCCCUCCCAAAUCUAUGCCAAGCCAUGACACAUACAUAGUUGGAGUUUGUAGUUUUGUGACACAGUCAAGCCAAUGAAACUCUUUGGGGCUUCUGAAGGUGGUGGUCUUACCUUACUGCCCUCCUCCCAGUCUGCAAAUACUCAGAUUCUUGUCUGAUCAAAUGUGAAGUCAAUUAGUGAUGAAGUCAGGAAGUUAUGUCAGCACAAAACUGUUCAAGGUCUCUUGCAGUUAUUAUUUCUUCUGGUUCAUCAUGUGAAAUUGGCUUAUCCUUGGAAUCCAUUUGAAAUCCACCAAGAGAAAAAAAAAUGCAGGGAAAGGCAGUGAGCUCCAUUUCUACAUUCAUAUUUUUGCAAGAUCUGUGAAGGAAAAUAGAAGAAUAAUAAUGAAGUUAUUGAGUACUCUUUCAUAUUUUUGAAACAACAAAAAGAAAAUUUGUACAAUUUUGUAUUUUUGUGUGUGUUUGUGCUUACUCUUUGAAGUGAAACCCAUGUUAGAAUAUCUUUUUAAAUAACCUAGAAGGAAACUGAUGAGCAGGAUAUCUGUCGUUGAGAGUGCAGUAGGCUAUGUACAAGCUUUGGAAGGCAUUUUCUUCAACUAGCUUUGCUAAGACACUUUUCCUUUGACCUGCCUUAACUCAGUCUUUUCAUUUCAGUGUCUGGAAAUGGUUUGUAAGAAUGCAGAGUUAUUGGUUCUUUCUGAUGCUAUGCUGCUGUGAAUUGCAUAAUACGAACACGUGUAUCUGCAUCUGAUGGAGCAGUAGCAUUGAUAUGAACAGCAGCACUGUGUUCUUUGCAUCAUUCCCUUCUGCCAGGUGUGGAGGAGGAGGAGACAGUCUGUCACAGGCGGGUUUCUGCAAAAGAAGAGACUGUGAGGAAAAGUGGUAGGGCUUCCUACACAACCUGAUUCCUUUUCUUGUGGUGCCGACUCCCACACUGCCUGGUGCGCUCUCAUUAGGAGCUGUCUGCUCAUUUCCAGUAUCUGUCUGAUUCCUUAGAGGACCCUAUUAAGAUGCAUGGGUCAUGCAAAAGCAAAAUUUAGUAACACUCUGAAAACAGGACAAGUGCUGAAGCAAAGGAUCCUUCUCACAUACGGUGUACCAGGUAAAUUCACUCUGUGGCAAACUACUUUUCUUCAAAUUAUCAGAAACAGUUUUCUCUGAUCCCAGCAACACUAUAUCCCUGAGAGGAUCCACAGAAGUCUGUUUUUUUCAAAAAAUAAAACGUCCUUGAUCCCUACUCAUUAUCACAGUUUAAUAGACUCCAUCUUCUCCCUUCCAACAGCUUUAAUUUGUGCUUACCUUAAAAAUAAUUCCCAGAAUUUUCUUGCCAUAUUUUGCCCUCAUAAACUAACCAAUAUAAGAUACUACUUGAUAACAGGAUUACCUUUAGAAAAAAUACUAAAAAAUAUUUUGAUUUAUAGGGGAUGUGUAAAUUGUUGCAAAUGGGUAUAAUUUCUUUUCUCUCGUGCUGAUUGCAGUAAUAAUGAAUUUCACUGUUGGUUAAAAGUCAAUUUUAUGCAUCUCUAUGACACUCUUAUUUAUAAAUUGAUAUAAUUCAAUUUAACAUUUUGGAUAGUCUUGUGAGCUAAGAAAUUUUCUUUUUUUUUACCAGUUAUGAAAUGUUUAGCCUUCACUUGCAUGUGUUCAGCAAGGCCAAUGCAGCAAAUGUGUCAAAGGAAAAUCCUGCUUUAAGGUAGCCCUUAUAUGUGCCUUCUCUCUCUGCCUUUUUCUCUCCCUGCUCUCUUAUAAAUGCUCUCAUAUGCAGGUACUGGAAAUGGAUUCUCUUUUUAAAAAGAUGAAGAAGAACAUACUGAAGCCCAAAAUUAGUAGUAUGCUUUUAUACCUCUGCUUUUUAAUUCCAUAAUUUAAGAUGUUUGAAUUAAUACUGUGGGAUUAACUGGUGGAAGAAAAAAAAAGUAGUGUAUUUAUAAAAUGGGGUUUAAGGAGACACCAAAAAGACUUUAAGCAUAGUCUACACUGGCCUUUGCAGUGCUGUCACUUUUGUUGUGCUAGUGAAUUUCAUAGGAGUGCUGGGUUUUAUUAUGUAUGUAGUUGAGGCUUAGUAGACUAGAAGAAAAUAAUUUCAAUGGUCAGACUCUUUUUGUUAUGAGUUUUCCUGUUUUUCCUUGAUAUGCCUUGUUAUUUGUUGGUUAUUUUUUUAAAGGACAGUAAUUUUGUUGGCAAGAUGAUUACUUUGGAUAAAAACUAAUUCCUUUGAGUAUGAAAGUAAAGUGUUGGAUUUUCAUUAUAGAUACAAACAAAUCUAGGAGAAAGCAAAUGCUUGGGAAUAAAGCCUAUGACUUCAUAUUGCAAAUAAAAGAUGUGACUUAAACUCUUCUUUCAAUGAUAGCCCAUAACCUGCACUCUGAGCAAAUGCUUAGAUUUCUGGACUUUUGGGGAAGAAGAACCUCUUCCUUUUGGUCUUAUGGAUAAACUGACUAAUGGCAGUUUUAAAACAUAGAGCUGUUGAGCCCACCCUUAGAAUCACAUAAUUCUAGAAUAGCUUUGGGAUGGAAGGGACCUUUUUAAAAUACGUGUGCAGAUAGGGAGUUUUUGUAGUGUUUUCAUGCAGCUUAUGAAUUCCCCAUGGCAGUGGCUGGGAAGCAGACACUGAGAUGUGUGUCCCUCUGGCAAGGUGGCAGUACUUCCAGGAAGAGACACUAGUGGCUCUGAUGCUUUACCAGGAAAAGAAGAAGCUUCCAAAGAUCUCUUAGACACAUUGGAUGAAAAUUAUUUUCUCAGAUCAGACAGUCAAACUGUGAUUUGGCUUCAUUUUUAGGUACUUUGUGUGGUUUUCUUAAGUGCUGAUAUGUAGUUUUUGUAGCUAGAAAUGAGUUCCUGAUGAGAAAGCAUGAAAAAUUGUUAGAAGAAAGUGUUUUUCUGAUAGUCUACUUCUGAUACUCAAUCAGACUAAUUAAAUAAAUUCAACUAAUCAGCUUCUGAUAAUGUUUAGAAGGAACUAAUUUGCUUCUCUCCUAUUUGUUUUGAAGUUAUGUUGUCACCACUGAUGACUUGCAUUGGUUUCAAUUAUAGAACUUAAUAUUUAGCUAAGACCUUGAACAUGUGGUGAAGAACUUAAUGAAUAAUUACACUCUUCUACCCAGCUUUUAAAUUGAUGUGUUUGUUUUGAGAAUAAUUUCUUUUAUUUAGAAAGAAAAACAAAGAAGAUUCUUGCUUUUCCUUGAUCUUGAUGUCUUUUUCUGUCCCAUUUUAAUAGAUCACCUUUGCUAUAUUUCUUAAACUGAUAAAGAUCUAAAUAUGGUAUUGAAAGCAAGGAGGUAGGUGUGAGAGGGAAUUAAAAGAUUAUUAGCAUACAGCAAAUCACUGGAACUGAAGAUACUUUGCAACCCUUUCCUUGAUUGUCCCUUUGGGAAAGAAUCAUAUCUGUUUACCUAGUCUGUUCUUAGCUCAGACCUCUUAGGAUUUAGAGGAUAUUGAAAACAGCAAUGUGUGGAGGCCUGAUAUAUGCUAGAAGGAUAAGGAUGCCUGUGUUUUGCCAUGAGAAGUGGAAUUAUAUCUCAAUCCUGUGCACAACAAGCUAUUUAUCAUGCUCAGGAAACAGCAGUAGGUAAUAAACCUGAACCCUUUGCAGCUAGGAGACUGUUUAUAUAUCCCAAAAACUUUUUCUUGUGAAGAAAAGAUUCUCACCCUCAUGUCAUGUUGCAUUGCAGUUUACUGUGGAGUGCUGCAGAGAUUUCUUAUUUUAGCUUGUUGCAUUUUAUCUAAGGGUAACUGUUGUAUAUUAAUUUGUUGCAUCAAAUUAUACAAUAUGGGUCUGAACUCAUAAGUUUCUCUUUCCUUUGGGUUGUUUAAGGUGAUUUCACAUUUGUUAUGAAUUUGCUAGUCCUUUUAGGGACAAGACCAUCUAGCCUUAUUGGGGAUCAGCAAUUUCUUUUUUAAAGACUUCAAAAUAGUCAGCUAAAUGGAGUGUGAAUGGGGGACAGCGUUGAGGCUUCUGGUCAGUCAGGUAUGAGGAAGAUACUGGACUCCAUUCCGACUCUGAGUGAAGGCAUUCGGAUUUUUAAUACCUGUGAAGAAACUCUGAUAUAAGGUAUGUCUCUCAGACAAAGGUGUUUAGAGGUAAUGUUGUUAUGGGGAUAUUUGGGCUCUUGAAGAAGAUCCUAGGCUGGGCAUGCACUAGUUUAGUCUAGCAUGACAGAAUUCAAACUUCUGGGGAAGAGGCUCAAAUCCAGCUCUGUGUAGGAUGCCACAUAAGUUCAGGGCUGCUAAAAAAGGCCAGAUACUACAAGACCACUUAAAAUAAUGCUGCCAAUAUGUUUAAAGGCAAAGUAUCCUUCCACUGGAAGGAUUGACUCAAAAUAAAAAACAACAAUAAUAAUAAUUAUUAAUAAUAUUAAUCCUUGCUAAUAAUGAUGGCAUAAAAUAAUAAUAAAUAAUAAAUUCACUUUUUGUACAAAAUUGUUUCCAUUAUCCUAUGUCUUUUGUGCUACAAGGGAGCUGGCUUUGUGCAUGUAAAGGUUUUAGCUAUUUCUAGUAGUAAUAGACAAUGAAUAAUAACACAAUUAUUGCAUAUUUUUUAUUAAUAAUUUUCAUGUGGGUGACUCUAGUUACAUGUCAGUUAUUAGGAUUAAAGUUUACUGUCUCCAUCCCCAGAAUUGGUUAUAGAUGUGCUAAUAGAGAGACAUCUUCUAACAGCUGGUAACUCUAUUGGAAGUGAGUAAAUGAGUAAAAGAAAGAGUGAUGGAUCCAUUUUUCUCCUAACACUUCUCUUGGCCAACCCAAGAGACAAGAAGACUUAGUAGACACUACAAAAUACAAUUCUGGCACAUAAAUAAAAUUCUAUUUGGUUUUGAUUCAUCCUUUGUUAUUCUCUUCAUUACUCUUUUAUUCACUGAUCUUUUUUAUAAUAGGGAUUUCAUCAAAACUCCUAAUGUUUUCCUUGAAGAUGAUUAUUUACAGUGUUACAUAAUGAUUUUGUGAACAGUAUAAAUUUCUGUAUCUGUGUGUGGGUAUGGUUUUUUGUGAUUUUUUUUCUCUCUUUUUUAAAAAACGGUGUGCUCUGCACUCCAGUAACAUCAUUCUUUUCAUACAGCUUAACUUAUGACAACUGUAGAAAUGAUGUUCUAAGAAUGAAGGGAAAAGGAAAGCUAGUUGUAUUUUGACAAGAAUGGACCAACCAAUAGCAAAAAUAAUUUACUUUCUUUUGACAUAAGUGUGUCAAUUUUUGAAAAGUACUUACUACUGCCAAAGCUAGACUGAUAUUAAAAGCUUUACAUUAACUUGACUUUCAGAGAGAAUUGAAGUGAAAUUUUAUUUUAGGCUUGUCCAAACAGUAUUUUCUUUCUAUGUCUUAUCUUAAUGAAAGAUUUUACACUAUUUUUACAAUUGGUUGUAAUUUUUUUCAUUUGAGAAGUUUUCUGUUCAAUCUAAGAAGAUGCUUCCCUGCAUGAGUGAAAUUUUUUUUUCUUUCCUUUUCCAUUUCCUUCCUUGUGAAAAUGGGAAUUUUUCACAAGCAACAAAAAAUUAUUAAAUGCCCCUUUUCAUGUCAAAGUUUGAUUAAUUUGCUGGAAUGAGAACAUUCCCUUUUAGCUCUGCUUCUGAAAUCUAACACUGAAGAAACAGAGACUUCUUAGCUCUUCCAAAUUUGGUUCAUAAAUGCAUUGGAAGGUUAAGAUGUGUGGUGUUUUUGCCAUGUUUUCUGCUUCCACCUAAACUGUUUGGAGAGAGAAUGCUGCUGUUGAUUCUCUACAGAAAAUUUAUACAGAAGGAUAUUUCACUGUCUAAAAUCCUUCAGCUGCAAAUUUCUCUAUAUUCCUUCCUGCUGCUUUGAGCUUUAAUUUCACAUAUAAUUAUAAAGAAUGUAAAUUAGGUUCAUCAGGGGCCAAAUUAUAUUUUAUUUACUUGAACUAAUGUAAAUAUAUUGAUCUUUAAAUAGUUAGAAGGCUGAAAAAUAUUUUUAAAUAUAUCUGCAAUGUAUGUUUUAACAUAGUGUCAGUACAUAUACAUAAGCAAUUGUACAAUAAAUUCAGAUGUUAAAAUCCAACUAACAUUUCUAAGGUUUAUUUUAUAAUGCUGAAGUGUUCUGAUUGCUUUUAGAAGAUUUAAGUUUGGUCAAGUUCUAAAAGGUAACUCGGCUAUUUCUGCCACUUUUCUUCUUCAUAAGGUUGCAUAGAAUUAGAUCAAAAAAUACAAUAAUCAGUUUUAUCAGAAUAGAGAGAAAUGUUGGAUUUUAGUGAGUGGAAUAUGCUACUUUACUUUGUCUUUAAACUGUAUAAGCUACAGUGAGCAGAAAAGCAGAGGUGGUUGGUGGGAAUUUCCUAUUGUCAGCACUCAGAUUAGGUUUAAAAUGAUGCUGAAACUGUGGCCUUAUCCUUGAAUGCUUUUUACUGCUGUCAUGCCUUAACCCCAGCCAUUCAUCAAGCCCUAUGCAGCUGCUCACACACUCCCACCAGCAGGAUGAGGGAGAGAAUCAGAAGGGUAAACUUGUAGGUUGAGAUAAAGACAGUUUAUUAGGGUGAGCAAAGCCACACACACAAAGCGAAACAAGGAAUUAAUUCACUACCUCCCAUGACCAGGCAGGUGUUCAACCAUUUCCAGCAGAGCAUGGCUCCAUCACGUGUAAUGGUGACUUGGGAAGACAAAUGCAAUCACUCCAAAUGUCUCUUCCCUUUGUUCCUUCUUCCCUACUUUGUACACUGAGCAUGAUCCUGUAUGGUCUGGAAGAUGCCUCUGGUCAGUUUGGGUGACCUGUCCUGGUUCUGUCUCCUCCCAAUCUCUUAUGCACUCCCAGUUUCCCUGACAAGGCAGCACAAAGAACAGAGCUUGGCUCUUUGUAAGCCCUGCUCAGAAAUAACAAAAAUAUCUCUGCAUUAUUACUAUUGUGUUCAGCACAAAUCCAAAAAACACAGCCCCAUAUUAGCCACUGGGAAGAAGAUUAAGUCUACCCCUGCCAAAAACAGCAUAAAUAUGUUACCCAUAUUCUGGAAUUGUGUUUUUAUUUGGUCACUUAUGCUGGAACCAUGAUGCAGUAGGGAAUGUCCCUUCAUUACCCUGAAUAUCUAUGUUUCUUGAAAAAUAUAGCUCUAUAUAAAGAGUAUCAACAGAGAGAUUAUUGGAGACUGAUUUAGAGUGAUAUGGGUAAUGGUGAUAAUAUGGUAAAUCAAUGUAGAUUUUUCUUAUUGUUUUUAAAGGAAAGUUUCUUAUAUUUGUUCGUUUGGAGGGGUUUUUUUGUGGUUUUUGUUGUUGUUAUACUGCUAUUUUUCUGAGGUGUCCUACCAUUUGCUGAAAGACAGUCAGGAAUCCAUGCAUUCAUGACAGACCAUCACCACCAGAAGCGUGAAAUGCUGGCAAUAUCCAUGAGCAGUGAGUGGAAAUCUUGGAAAUCUCUUGAUAUGACCGCCUAGCAUGUUUGAUUACCUUCUGCACUCCACAAUUAACUUCAGUUUUCUUCUUUUUUUUUUUUUUUUUUCCUUUAUCAGUAGGAGUUUAUACUAAAUUUUUCCCUUUAAUAAAUGCCCUGAAAGCCCCUGGAGAAAAUUCCAGUCUCUUCAGAAGUAGAACCACAUGCCUGACAUGUUGUAAGGCCAAGAGGCUGUAAAGGAGCUCUCCACAGGCAGGCACCAUGGCUGGUGCACAGGCUGCUGCACCAGCUGUCGAGUUAGAGUUCUAACUUCAAAUUUUAAGGCACUGUGUCCCUGCUUGCAGCCCUUUUUUCAACACUUCAUUUUCUUGGGAGAGAUUUUCCAGCUUUCCCAAAAUGGUAUGAUCAUUGGACCUUGACAGCUGCUCCUUUAACAGCUGCUAUGCCUCUGACCACUGACCUUCUGGCUUCCUGUGCAUCUGCUGUUGGUCAAAAAGAUCAGUCUAAGCGUGUGGAGAACCUUGCUGAAUGUACUUUAUCUGACAUUAAUUAGCUCCUUCCAGUACAACUAAUCAAAUACACACACAUACACAGAUCCUCUGUUACUACUAAUUUUAAUUAACAUUUUUAUAAGGAAUUUCUGUUAUUAAUUAGUGGAAGAACGUCUCUUGUGAAUGCUGCUGUGUGUCUGGCAAAAGAAAGAAAAUUGUAAAAAGAGAGAGGGACAUUAAUGAAUAAAAUCUAGGUAAACAGUACAUCAAGAUACCAAAUCAAGCUUUAUUCAAGUUUACUCCCUGAUGAAUUUUCCUUUAUAUACAGAAAAAUAUCCUUAUGAUUAUGGACUAAAUGACUAUAUACAAUCGUAAAAGAUAUUUAUUGGGUGAAUACCUAUCUGAAGGAAAGCUCUUUUCAUAAAAAUGGAUUUAUGAGUCUUGAUUCUUCCUGGGUAAGCAGAAUAGGUUUUUGUCUGGUUGUCCAAUUUUGCUGAUAUUGGUCAGGCCACCUGAAAUCACAGUGGCUAAGCUCAGUGGUCAAUGGAUUGGAGGGUUCUGGUCGGCAAGACGCUUCUCCAAAAUGUUCCCCUUUUCUCAGCUUUCAACUGCUGUCGUCUUCUUUCUUUUGCCAUUUGAAAAAAAAAAUUUAAAAAUAAGCUGGUACAUCAGCAUGUCUCACUAAGUUUUAUAUUGAGGAGAACAGGAAAGUGUGAUAAGAAGCAAAUACUGUCCUUUAGAUUUCCUAAAUUGCCCUCAACAGUCUGUGACAUUUUCUGUGACUAUCAAUUGCAAUGUGCAGUAGCAUAUCAAAGAGCACAUUAUGCCUUGAGUAAUUUACUUGUGUUUCUGUGCUGUGAAAUCUAUAUUCAGAAUAUUGUCUUAUCCCUUGCAAAAAAGGGGAGAGGAUGGGGAAGAAGCCCUGCAAGGAAAUAUUACUACUUCUACUUGCAGUUCACUAGAGGCUUUCUGUUUGGUUUGGUUUGGUUUUUCAAUGGACUAAUCUGCCCUUGAUCCUAAGACUAUACGAAUGGAUUUCACAAGUCAUAAUUUGUAUACAUAACCUACUGUCUAUAUAAAUCUUAUUUAAUCUUUUAUCCAACUUCUUUUUUUCUUAGUUUUAAAUCUCUCGGUGUAAAUGUAAGGAUUUGAGCCUUAAUGUAAUAGUGUUUGUAUGCUUAGCUUGUUUCUUUUUUUUUUUUUAACAAUCUUGAAGACUUUCCACUGUGCUUCUGACUGAUUCUCAUAUGAAAAGAUUAAAUAUUCAGAGAAAGAUGUAGAAAAUUUGGCCAUAUGUGGGGUUUUUUUUGUUUGUUUGUUUGUUUUUUUCAAUGGGAUUGAUUUUUAUUGAGAAAUAAUCCUUCUGUUUUUCUUCCCUAUAUAUCAGGGCUUACCUCUAAUCUUUGAAUCCAAAGCCUCUAAAAUUGCUUUAGAUUUAUUUUUUAAUUUUCUUUUGUAGAUUGGCAUGUAUUUCUAACAUCUGAUUCCAUAUUACUUAUACUGUAGUUUUAACCUUAAACUUCUGAGAAAAAUGAGUUAUAUUCAAAGUAAUAUUUAUGCCUAAAAAAAAAUUAUUGACAUUUCUUUCAUCCUCUAAAUUGAUUCCUUUGACCUUUUUUGUAAAUUUUGUUACUAUUGCUGGGUAAGGUGGAAGGAAGGAGGAGCUGUAUUAGGUGAAAAGGUAGAUAACCAAUAUUUUUGUAAUUUUUGUUUAUUUUGUAUUGUAUUAAUGUGGGAAUGAACCUAGUUAAAACCACAGCAUUUUAGUGGACGCAAGUUAAGAAGGGAUCUCUGAAGGAAGUCCAAGUUUGUGAGCCUAAAAUUUAUAGCAGCAGACAUGGCCAUAUGUUUGCUGUUGUCUUAGAUGCAGCAAGCUGAUCUUAUUCCGUUGCAUUUUCCUUCCUUGAUCUACCUCAGCCGAAACAGAAACACUUUGCUUCUCAUCCAGAAUGGGCAUGAACUCACCUGUUCAAACUAAAGAAUUUUCUCUUGUUCCCACUUUUGUGGUUUUUUUUGCCUUCUCUCUCAUGAAAUACAUGAGCAUCCCUGAAUACUGAGCAUCAGCCCAGAGCUAGAGUUUACAUAACAUAAUUCUUUACAACUUGUGGGCAGAGCUGCAGCAACAUUAUACCCCAGUGCUGUCCAGGUGUGCAGUGUCCCUUAUGGAGCAUGACAACACAUUGUCUACGCAUCUUUGGCAAGGCUUUUCCAACACAAAGGAUUCUAUGAAAUAGUACUAAACUUCACUAAAUGUGCUGCUGCAUGUUUUUGAUAUCUUUUCCUUUAAUGUAGCCAUUUACAAUGAUGAGUUUAAUCAUGUCUGCUUGGUAUUUACUGAGAAUAUCUCCUUUUUUCCUCUGGUUUGUUUUUGGUUUUGGAGUUUUUUGACAGGUUAGUUUAGAGAGAUGGUCUCAGUGAUGUAAAAUACCUCUCAACAGAAAAACUGAUUAUAUCUUGAAUGGUUCUAACUUCAAACACAAGGAAGCCUAUUAAGAAAAGCGCUGGAGUAAAGGAAGAUUUUGAAUCUUUAGUUCAGCUUGAUCUUAGCAAACUAAAAGCUAGGGGAAAGAAAAAAUUACAUUAUACACUCACAGGAUAUUAUACUGAAUAAUCUUUGUUACUCAAAGCUUUAUGAAGAAGUCAUUAAGUUUUGGAGGAUUGUGUUUUCCAUUAUGUCUAUAUUCUUGUUACAUUCAUGUCAGUGUUUUUAAAACUUUUUUAAAAUUGGUUUUAAAAACUUUUUUUAUAAGUAUUUUUUUAUAAUUCUUUCUGUCUAGGAGAGAUGAUAAUAUAAUCAAUAACAUGAUCAAUAUGCUGUGCUUCCUUUGUAAGAAGGAAGCGACAAUCGGCUUGUCUAGUUAAAGCCAGUGGCCAGGGUUAGCCAACAUCAAUUUCUUACUUGUUUUUAUUAGUGAUUUCUCUGAUAAUUAGAGGUAGGAGAGGAAAAAAGUUGAAAAGUCUUUUUCCACGUCUUUAAAAAAUGGGUCUUUAUGGGUCUUUGCACUAGGAUUUUCUCCAUUAGGUCAAAUCAAUUCUUAUAUUUAUAAAAAAAAAUAUAUGUUAAUUUUGAUUUUCUUCACAGAUAAUUUCUCAUAUGUAAACAGCCUCUGCAAUUUCUUCCCAGGAUUUCCUUACCUAUCUUUAGUGAUAUGCCAGGGAGAGCUAAAAGUGCUUCCUUUGAAAACAUGGGAUCAAUAGGUGGUUCAAAGCUGAUUAGGUGAAUCUACCAGCCUGAUAAGUUCCUUUAUGAAAUUUGGCUUACAGAAAAAUAUAGAAGGGCUAAUGAUGGGGAAGAUAUGUUACUGGCUUUGGCUGCAAACAAGUGAUAGGAGCCUCUUGUGUAGUUUUCAUGCUUUCUUAGCAGUUUGUUACCUGCAAUUUGGCAAAUAGCUUCUAUCCUCUCUAGCUCUUCUUGCCAGCCCUUCUUCUGGCUCGUGUAGUCAAACCUGUGAGCCCAGAUGGGGCUGCUCUCUCUCCUCUCUAAUCGUUCUGCUUUGAAACCAUCUGUCUAAUGAAUAAUGGUAGUGCUUUUGUACCAUGAGGAAAAUAAGUGUGAAGCAGUUAACUUGCUAUCCUUGGAUGCUGUCCAAUAACUUCCUCAAAAUAGGUCUAGUCCUUGCUGAAUGGAUUUUUCUCACCUUGUCACACGUGUUAUUACUGUUGUGUUACUUAGGUUGAACAGAUGUUGUGUCUACAUGGUUGUAUCAUGUGCAGCUUUCACACUUGCUCACUGUCUUUCAGAUCACUAAAUUAAUAUAUCUUCUAUUCAGCUUUCUAAUGUUUGUCACUCCGCAAAAGGUAUUUUUCUUUAGCUAGUGAUAAUUAGAUACCUGGUUAAUGUGCUCUGUGUAUUUACUUGUUAUUAGAGCUUAAUCCCAAAGUGACAAUACUGUCUCUGCUGUUAACAGGAUGAAAUCUCCAUACAUAUUCUACUUCAUUAGUUUUCCUAAUCAUUUUAAAGCAAUUGCUCUGAAGAUUUCUGGGUGCGAUUUCCAAAAAAUGCCUGAUUCUCGCCAUUUCCUGACUUUAGUCUCCCUUUCCAAGGUGACAAUUUUAACUUUCUUUUGCAGUCUUAAGCAUGGCUGAACUGUACACUCUGUAUCCAGUUUACACUGUGGGAUGCUAUCUGGAAAGUUUCCAGUUUUCUUGGUCAACCACAGGGUAUGUGUGUGCCAGAGCAGUGAGAAUGAAUGUGCUGCUGGUCCCCAGAGACACUGUAGCACCAUCUGUGAAGAAAUGUUAUGGAAGAGGCUAAUUUAAGUUCUGCUUUGGUUGGAUAGACAAGAAAAAGUACCUGUCAAUAUUUGUAAAGGUAAAGAAGAUCAAAGACAUAGAGCAGACUUCUGGAAAUUCUUUAGAAGCAAAGGUAAGAAUUAGGAUUAGUUUCUAGUUAGAGAAAGUACACAAGGAGCUCUGGAAAUUUAAUAUAAUGUAGCUUUACUGCUAACCAGCAUGUGAAUACAGGAGAGCACAAUCACAAAAUCAUUAUGGUUGGAAAAGACCGUCUAAUCUAAGUCCAGUUUUUAACCAAUCACCACCUUAUCAGCUAGAGCAUAUCACUGAAUGCCACAUCCACUGGUUUCUUGAACACCCCCAGAGAUUGUGUCUCCACCACCUCCCUGGGCAUCUAUUCCAAAGUUUUACAAUCCUUUCCACCUUUAUUUACUUCUGCAAUUAUCACUUUGAAAUGUUUAUCUAUCUAUCUAUCCAGUAGUAAAUGUGCCAAGACACUGAUGUUUUGUAUUAGCUAAGUUUUUCCAGAGUUCAGAAAACAACUUCGAGACAUUUCAGCUAAAUAUUAGGAUUAUUGAGUAGGCUUCAGAAAGGAAGAUUUAUAUGGAUAUUAUCUAGAUUAAUUUCUUAUUUUUGUAAAAUUUAAACUUUAAAUACAUAAUACUGUACAUCACUGGGCUGCUAAUAGGCUUUUUUCUUUCAAAACUUGAUUCCAAUUUAUUUUUAGCUACAUGCAGUUGUUGUGGCUGAAUGCUCUUCUGCAUCUAAACAGAAUUUUUCUAAAAAUGCUAGAGAGUAAAAUUUCAAAUAAAUGCAAUUUAAAUUGUACAAAAGUAUUAAAAUGAAAAUAAAAAAGUUAAAGUUGAAAAUAUGCCACCUGGCAAUUCUAUUCAAAAUUUACUGCAUGGAUUUUCAGGUUUACAGACCUGCUACUCAGGUUUUCAGACCUUAAAGAACCAAUAAGCACUUACUCCUCAGAGUCCCUUAUAUGUGAAAGUUUUCAGAACAUUCAUUAAUUUGCUCUCUAAAUCAUGUCUGUUAUCUUUCUGCAAACGGAGCCUUGUGGUAAGAUGUUUAGCCUUUCUUUAUUGCUAGGAGCGCAUGUUCAAUUUUGUGAUAAAAUGUACUAAUAUGAAGUGAUGAUUUUUGGAACUUUGGAAAAAAGUGCUUAGUUUGGAAGUAUCUUUUGUUAUAAAAUGCUGUGAAGAUGCAUGCAUGGCAUGUUCUCAAGAGCCUUUUGAAAAUAGAGUUUAUCAAAAGAAUGUUACUCCAUACAGGGAAUGCUUUGUGUGAGCGUCUUUUCAUUAUGAAGCUUAUGAAAGUCUUAUCAGCUGCUGUAAAUGAAGUGUUGUUUUCUUUGUUUGUUUUUAGUGAUCAAUACCAAAUAGAUCAAGCAUUCCUGUACGAAAACUUCAGUGGUGUUUAUAGUGAAAACAAGGCAUUUUUCUACCCAAAGCACCUCAAGAUUAACUAACUGAUAUGUCAUUACAUGGGUGAUGAUUAUCUGAAAGGUCUUCUUCCUCCUUUCAUAUUUUAACUAAAUACUGUGAGAGAGACAUGCAAGCAGAAUUGUCUUAUUAAAAUAUGAAUUUUGCAUUUAUGAAAAACAUAAUAAUUUUUAAACCUUUCAUCAUGAGUGUUAGAUUACUUGAAAGUCUUGUAUUCAUGGGUCGAACAUCAUCCAUCCAAAAGGAACAAUUAAUGUGAAGAGAGCCACAAUUAUGGUUAAUGAAUUCAACAGACAUUUUCUCUAAAUGCUUUUAAGGUGUUAAACAAGGUUCAUCAAACCAAAAACUUGAUAGAAAGCAAAAAUUGAUAAUUUAAGGUAGGUGUAAAUUAACCAUCAAAGUGAUUUUAAUUUUUUUAUUAAUAUACUGUGUUAAGUAAAAAGGCAUAUUAAUAUUUUUCUUUAUCCAAGAAUCAAAUUUGUAUCUGUCCCUGGUACUGUCGGGGAAAAAAAAAAUUAAUAGAUUUUUGCUAUAGCAACACUUUCUCUUCACUUCACACUUCAUUUUAAGCCAACACAGAAUCUUCAGUGUUUCAUCUAAGAGGAAACUGCACAGGACAGGGAGAUGAUAAAAGUAGCAAAGCCCUAUCUACACUGUAUUGGGAAUUUUCAGAUAGGUUUUCCUAGGCAGAUUUUAUGUUUUCAAGUUGGACCACUGAGCAUUAGAGCAUUUUAGUUUUGAGUUUGUAGUGUAUAAGAUAGGAAAUAUUAGAAUUUAUUUGACGUCAAUUAUUCCUUUGUCUGAUAUAGAUAUACACUUUUUGGAUGAAAGAAUGAAGCAAAAAAAGAUUGUAUUGCAAGCCAUGAAAUUUACUGAAAAGUUGAUAUACCCAGGAAAGUGUCGCUUAUGACAGGUUUCUUUGCCUGAAAGUUGGAGUUCCUCUGUAUGACCUAUUUUCCUCAAAUAUUUUUCAAUUCGAGAUCCAAAAAACCUAAUUGCCAAGGCUACUUUAAACAUUCUCUUCAUACUGGGAAUAAACUGAUGUUCAACCAAAGUCUGGAAUGCUUUCUCACAAUGCACCUUAUAAUGCUCUUCUGCUUUACAUAGUUGGUUUAUUUAAUUUUUUUUUUUUCAGUGCUACAAUAAAUAUUUUGGUUUUGUAAGCCAGGAUAGCAGAAGAGGUAGGAAAUAUGCAAGAUUCACUCCCUAAAUCACACUCUGAGAUUAUUCAAAUAAUGAUGAACAACCAUUUACCUGCUUGUCUUGCUAUGAAGUUCAAGGUCAAGAUAUGCUGAUAUUACAGUUACUAGGGAACCUGGAGAACUGGAAAAUCAUGGGCAAUUAAUGACUUUGAGAACAUUAAAGAAUUGCAGAUAUUGCUGGAAAUUCUUCCAACAGAAGCUCUUACAAGGAUACUUAGAGUGACAAUGUAGUAUAUCAUUUUUAGUAAAAGAACAUUCCGUCCUGGCUGCCUCAGGAAGCCAUGAGAAAAUGCUGAAGAGAAACAUGCUGAUGAGACAUCAAAUCUUUAUUCUGUAAAUCUAGUUCAUUUUCAACUCCAAAACAUUUGAGUGUCAAGUAACAAACUUAUCCCUAAAUUUGUUUCCAGUGUUCCUAUGGUUACAGAAAGUUUGUUAUGGUUUCUCCAGAGGACAAUUUCAAAGUAAAAUUUUGACCACAGAUUUGCUGCUCUGCAGGAGUAAAAUCACAGGACUUUUAUUUAAAUGAAGUAGCAAGACUUUUGCUUGUAACACAUGGGAGAUAAUUCUUAUUCUCUGAUGUGACUAAAACUCUCAGCUGGAACAGUGUGUGAAGCUCUAAGUGUCAUCUUUGAAUGAAUGCAUAGCUAAAGUGAAGGAUAUUCAGAAGAAAAGAAAUUCAUAAGGUUUGGAAAACAGUGAAAAUCAUGAAAGAAUUCCACUCUGAGCAGUGAUGAUGUGAGCAUCCUUGAGCUGCCGAAGACAUGAAAAAAAGAGUCCUCUGACAGGAAGCCACUUGCUGGCGGAGAUAUGAGAGGAGGAGAUCUGUUGGAGAGCUCUUCCAGGGACUUCAGAAUAAUGCUGGCCUCUGGAUGACAAUUAGACAUCCAACAUGCGUUGCUGCUGAUUUGGUGUUUCUGCUGCAAACCUGAAAAUGUAGUGGUAUUUACUGAAAUAAAAGUAAGUAUUUUCUCUUUGUCCUUGGAGAGAGAAAAUACUCUUCACCUUA